rnacentral:rRNA from 1 species
UCGAGCGGACAGAUGGGAGCUUGCUCCCUGAUGUUAGCGGCGGACGGGUGAGUAACACGUGGGUAACCUGCCUGUAAGACUGGGAUAACUCCGGGAAACCGGGGCUAAUACCGGAUGGUUGUUUGAACCGCAUGGUUCAAACAUAAAAGGUGGCUUCGGCUACCACUUACAGAUGGACCCGCGGCGCAUUAGCUAGUUGGUGAGGUAACGGCUCACCAAGGCAACGAUGCGUAGCCGACCUGAGAGGGUGAUCGGCCACACUGGGACUGAGACACGGCCCAGACUCCUACGGGAGGCAGCAGUAGGGAAUCUUCCGCAAUGGACGAAAGUCUGACGGAGCAACGCCGCGUGAGUGAUGAAGGUUUUCGGAUCGUAAAGCUCUGUUGUUAGGGAAGAACAAGUACCGUUCGAAUAGGGCGGUACCUUGACGGUACCUAACCAGAAAGCCACGGCUAACUACGUGCCAGCAGCCGCGGUAAUACGUAGGUGGCAAGCGUUGUCCGGAAUUAUUGGGCGUAAAGGGCUCGCAGGCGGUUUCUUAAGUCUGAUGUGAAAGCCCCCGGCUCAACCGGGGAGGGUCAUUG